GACGAACGCUGGCGGCGUGCUUAACACAUGCAAGUCGAACGGUGAAGCGCCUUCCUUUUUGGUGGGUGUGGAUGAGCGGCGAACUGGUGAGUAACACGUUAGUAACCUGCCCCCUGCUUCGUGAUAACCGCAGGAAUGUUUGGCUAAUACGGGAUAUUCUGGGUCUGUCGCAUGAUGGGUCCGGGAAAUAUAUUGUUUCGGUGGGGGGUGGUCUCGCGGCGGAUCAGCUUGUUGGUGGGGUGAUGGCCUACCAAGGCGGCGAUGGGUAGCAGGGCUGAGAGGAUGGUCAGUGAUACCGGAAGUGAGACACGGCGGAGACUCCUACGAGGGGCAGCAGUGGGGAAGAUUAUAGCACGGUGGGAAGCAGGAUGCUGCAGCGCCGCCGCGUGGGAGAUGGAGGUCUUAGGGUUGAGAACCUCUUUCGGGAGUGAAGGAGGGCUGCCUAGUUUGUGGGUGGGUUGACGGUAGCUGGAUAAGAAGCACCGGCUAACUACGUG
rnacentral:rRNA from 1 species